rnacentral:pre_miRNA from 1 species
AAUAAGAUAAUUUUUUAGUUUUUUGAUACAAUAUUUUGACUCUUCAUCUUAUUUGAAACUUUUUUGCGAUUAAUAUUUUUAUUCUUACUAGAUGAUAAAACAUAAAUAGUAAUUUAUGCGUGACUUAUUUUCUUAAGGUUUUGUACAAAAUUUUCAAAUAAACGAAUGAUCAAACGUUGGACAUGGAAAAACGAGAAAUGAAGUUAUU